rnacentral:rRNA from 1 species
GUUUGAUCCUGGCUCAGGACGAACGCUGGCGGCGUGCCUAACACAUGCAAGUCGAGCGAAGAAGCCCCUUCGGGGGUGGAUUAGCGGCGGACGGGUGAGUAACACGUGGGUAACCUGGCUCAAAGAGGGGGAUAGCCUCCCGAAAGGGUGAUUAAUACCGCAUAAAAGGUAAAUAUCGCAUGGUAAAUACCUUAAAGGAGAAAUCCGCUUUGAGAUGGGCCCGCGUCGCAUUAGCUAGUUGGAGGGAUAAAAGCCCCCCAAGGCGACGAUGCGUAGCCGACCUGAGAGGGUGAACGGCCACAUUGGAACUGAGAUACGGUCCAGACUCCUACGGGAGGCAGCAGUGGGGAAUAUUGCACAAUGGGGGAAACCCUGAUGCAGCAACGCCGCGUGAGUGAAGAAGGUUUUCGGAUCGUAAAGCUCUGUCAUCCGGGACGAUAAUGACGGUACCGGAAGAGGAAGCCACGGCUAACUACGUGCCAGCAGCCGCGGUAAUACGUAGGUGGCGAGCGUUGUCCGGAAUUACUGGGCGUAAAGGGUGUGCAGGCGGAUAUUUAAGUGAGAUGUGAAAGACCCGGGCUUAACCCGGGCAGUGCAUUUCAAACUGGAUAUCUAGAGUGCAGGAGAGGAGAACGGAAUUCCUAGUGUAGCGGUGAAAUGCGUAGAGAUUAGGAAGAACACCAGUGGCGAAGGCGGUUCUCUGGACUGUAACUGACGCUGAGGCACGAAAGCGUGGGUAGCAAACAGGAUUAGAUACCCUGGUAGUCCACGCUGUAAACGAUGAGUACUANGUGUANGGGGGUAUCGACCCCCCCUGUGCCGCAGUAAACACAAUAAGUACUCCGCCUGGGAAGUACGAUCGCAAGAUUAAAACUCAAAGGAAUUGACGGGGACCCGCACAAGCAGCGGAGCAUGUGGUUUAAUUCAAGGNCAUGCGAAGAACCUUACCUGGACUUGACAUCCCCCUGAAUACUUUUGUAUGGAGGAAGCCCUUCGGGGCAGGG